GAUUCUGGCUCAGAUUGAACGCUGGCGGCGUGCUUAACACAUGCAAGUCGCGCGUGAAUGGACUUCGGUCCGAGUAAAGCGGCGCACGGGUGAGUAACGCGUGGAUGAUCUACCCAUGAGUUAGGAAUAACGGCUGGAAACGGUCGCUAAUACCAAAUACGCUCCGAUUUCAACUUCGGGGGAAAGGUGGCCUCUGCUUGCAAGCUACUGCUCAUGGAUGAGUCCGCGUCCCAUUAGCUAGUUGGUGGGGUAACGGCCCACCAAGGCGACGAUGGGUAGCCGGUCUGAGAGGAUGACCGGCCACACUGGGACUGGAACACGGCCCAGACUCCUACGGGAGGCAGCAGUGGGGAAUAUUGCGCAAUGGGCGAAAGCCUGACGCAGCGACGCCGCGUGAGGGAAUGAAGGUCCUCGGAUCGUAAACCUCUGUCAGGAGGGAAGAACCGCCACGGUGCUAAUCAGCCGUGGUCUGACGGUACCUCCAAAGGAAGCACCGGCUAACUCCGUGCCAGCCGCGGC
rnacentral:rRNA from 1 species